rnacentral:rRNA from 1 species
GAUGAACGCUGGCGGCGUGCCUAAUACAUGCAAGUCGAGCGAACGGACGAGAAGCUUGCUUCUCUGAUGUUAGCGGCGGACGGGUGAGUAGCACGUGGAUAACCUACCUAUAAGACUGGGAUAACUUCGGGAAACCGGAGCUAAUACCGGAUAAUAUUUUGAACCGCAUGGUUCAAAAGUGAAAGACGGUCUUGCUGUCACUUAUAGAUGGAUCCGCGCUGCAUUAGCUAGUUGGUAAGGUAACGGCUUACCAAGGCAACGAUGCAUAGCCUACCUGAGAGGGUGAUCGGCCACACUGGAACUGAGACACGGUCCAGACUCCUACGGGAGGCAGCAGUAGGGAAUCUUCCGCAAUGGGCGAAAGCCUGACGGAGCAACGCCGCGUGAGUGAUGAAGGUCUUCGGAUCGUAAAACUCUGUUAUUAGGGAAGAACAUAUGUGUAAGUAACUGUGCACAUCUUGACGGUACCUAAUCAGAAAGCCACGGCUAACUACGUG